rnacentral:rRNA from 1 species
CCUACGGGAGGCUGCAGUGAGGAAUAUUGGUCAAUGGGCGGAAGCCUGAACCAGCCAAGUCGCGUGAGGGAAUAAGGCCCUACGGGUUGUAAACUUCUUUUAUAAAGGAGUAAAGUGAGGUACGUGUGUCUUUAUGUAUGUAUUUUAUGAAUAAGGAUCGGCUAACUCUGUGCCAGCAGCCGCGGUAAUACGGAGGAUCCGAGCGUUAUCCGGAUUUAUUGGGUUGAAAGGGAGCGUAGACGGGUUGUUAAGUCAGUAGUGAAAGUUUGCGGCUCAACCGUAGAAUUGCAGUUGAAACUGGCGAUCUAGAGUGCAGUAGAGGUAGGCGGAAUUCGUGGUGUAGCGGUGAAAUGCUUAGAUAUCACGAAGAACUCCGAUUGCGAAGGCAGUUCACUGGACUGCAACUGACGCUGAGGCUCGAAAGUGUGGGUAGCAAACAGGAUUAGAUACCCUUGUAGUC